rnacentral:rRNA from 1 species
CCAACCGGGAUUGCCUUAGUAACGGCGAGUGAAGCGGCAAAAGCUCAAAUUUGAAAUCUGGCUCUAUUUUGGGGUCCGAAUUGUAAUUUGAAGAAGCGACUUUGGACCUGGCUCUUGUCUAUGUUCCUUGGAACAGGACGUCACAGAGGGUGAGAAUCCCGUGCGAUGAGAAGCCCAGGUUCGUGUAAAGCGUUUUCGACGAGUCGAGUUGUUUGGGAAUGCAGCUCUAAGUGGGUGGUAAAUUCCAUCUAAAGCUAAAUAUUGGCGAGAGACCGAUAGCGAACAAGUACAGUGAUGGAAAGAUGAAAAGAACUUUGAAAAGAGAGUGAAAAAGUACGUGAAAUUGUUGAAAGGGAAGGGCUUGAGAUCAGACUUUGUUUUUCCAUGGCGCUCUUUCGGGGGUGUCCUCUGGGUCUACAGGGCCAGCAUGGGUUUUGCGGGCGAGACAAGGACUCAGGAAUGUGGCUCUGCUUCGGUGGAGUGUUAUAGCCUGGGGUACUGGUCGCCAUGCGGGACCGAGGACUGCGGUACUAGGAUGCUGGCAUAAUGAUCUUAAGCCGC